rnacentral:rRNA from 1 species
CCUACGGGGUGCAGCAGUGGGGAAUAUUGCACAAUGGGCGCAAGCCUGAUGCAGCCAUGCCGCGUGUAUGAAGAAGGCCUUCGGGUUGUAAAGUACUUUCAGCGGGGAGGAAGGGAGUAAAGUUAAUACCUUUGCUCAUUGACGUUACCCGCAGAAGAAGCACCGGCUAACUCCGUGCCAGCAGCCGCGGUAAUACGGAGGGUGCAAGCGUUAAUCGGAAUUACUGGGCGUAAAGCGCACGCAGGCGGUUUGUUAAGUCAGAUGUGAAAUCCCCGGGCUCAACCUGGGAACUGCAUCUGAUACUGGCAAGCUUGAGUCUCGUAGAGGGGGGUAGAAUUCCAGGUGUAGCGGUGAAAUGCGUAGAGAUCUGGAGGAAUACCAGUGGCGAAGGCGGCUUACUGGUCUGCAACUGACGCUGAGGCGCGAAAGCGUGGGGAGCAAACAGGAUUAGAUACCCCCGUAGUC